UUUGCUCAUCCAUCAUCUGUGUAACUUUUUGUCUAUAAAGACCCAUCUUUAUUGUAUUUGAUUUGAUACAACACACAACAAUAUUACAGUUCUUGCACAAAUCCUCCUUCAUCAUCACCUUCAUCUUCCUCAUCAUCUUCUUCUUCGGAUCCAAUACUACAAUAUUGUUCUUCAUAAAAUGACCAGAAAGAAAUGGAGGAAAAAAACGGUGGUCGAUCUUGAUAAUUUGGUAUGAGGAGACUUGGAAAAUCAUCUCUGUUAAUCCCAAAAUCUGAUAAAUAUUUCUUGUUUAUAUAGUGUUUGUAUUGGCAAAGGUGAUGGCUGCAUGUCGCACCCGCAAGACAGCUCAAGUUAUAAGUGUCAUCUGAAUGUAUUUGAGAAGUUUGUUUAGGGAGGCAGCAUCUCAGGAUCAAAUCCAGCACCAUAAAGAAGUAGCAUAUGCACACUCGAAAAUAGAUGUUUGGAAGUUUCAAAAUGUGAGCGUCUCGUGCAAAGCAAGCAGCUAGAGACUAAAGUGACCUCCUUGUCCUGCAUAAUGUCAUCUGUACCUAUCUUGUUAUGAAGUGAUUUGUAAACCACCCAUUCGCGUUUAGGAGGAGCACAGAGCACUCACUGCCCAAACAUCUUCAAAAUCCACAUCUGUAAGCUGACGAUCUCUAUAGUAUUCAUGAAUCAUAAUCAUAGGGUGAUUUCAUCUUUGGUUACACCGCCCAAUUAACAACAGAAAGACGACGUGCUCAGCUUUUUUGUGCGGCUAAUAAUAUUUUCUUUCUUUUCUUUCCUAGUUAAAUUGGGGUCUAUGGUGAUUAAUUAAGGCCUAUGGAUUUUUUUCAUCCACCCCAUAAAGAAUGAUAAGGGGUGUCUAAGUUUGAUGAAACUACCAUUUUACCCUCUAUCAAAUAUCAAUACUACCAAUUUAUCCUCAUUAAAUCCUAAUAACAAAAAAAAAAAACAAAAAACUAAAUCAAAUCAAAAUCAUUUCCAUUUCCAUCGAAAUUAAGAAUUCAAAAUCAAAUGAAAACAUUGUUGAUAAUCACCAAAUUCACUAAAAAUAUGUAAUUUUUUGUUUUAGCUCGAAUCAUAUACUUUUCUACUAACCCAGUCCCCUAGAGUAGCUUUCAAUAACAUGAAAUCACUCGAACAAUCCAAUUUUUCUAAAUCAAAGUUUUUUGGAUUUAUAACAACCGGUCUAUGUCAAUGCACUUGUAAACCGAUUUCAUUUAGAAGCUGUUGUUGUUUAUGCCCACAAAGACCGAGUCUCCUGGAUGGGCAUUCUAGUUAGAGGAAAUUGAACCAGAAUCGGUUUACGUUAUUGCCUACAUAGCCCGAUUCUGGUAUGGAAGAGAUAAUUAUUUUUCUGUGUUUUUUUUUUUGUUAGAAUCGGAUUACAUGAGCAUUUUUAUAAGCCAAUUCCUGUUGUGCAAUGUCAGGAAUCGGUUGUUAUAUAUGUACCGGGUAAACCGAUUCUUGUUAACCCAUUUUUUUUCCAGUUAAUACUCGAUCAUAAAAUGAGUAUGAAAUCAUACUCGAUUUCAUUUCAUUAACUCGGGUACAAAAUGAAUUUUAAUUUGUUUAACAACACAUAAUUAAAAAAGACAAAUUUUACCCACAAUCGGUUUAUUUCAUGCCCAUAUAAACCGAUUAUGGAUAAUCGGUUGAUUUUCAUGUCCAUAUAAACCGAUUCUGGGUAGAAGCAAGUUUCAAAAAUUCUCUGUAUAUUUUUGAGGUUACAAUCUGUAAACAUAUACCGAUUCUGAAUUGGUGUUCUUCUAAAAAUUUCAAAUUUUCAAAUGUUUUCAUGUUCAGAUGAUUAAUUAACACAAGUUAAUUUCACAUCUAACACUAUAUUUUAACACUAAUCAUCCGAAUUAACACUAAUAAUCAGGGGUGAAUUAGCCAUUAAGAAAAUAGUUGGUUAAGGGGUUUCUAUGAAUUACUUCUUAAUGAUUCUAUUUUGUCAUGUAGCUAUAGGCCCCAAUUUAACCAGGUUUUCUUUGAAAUCUUUCUCAGGUCUAGGAUUCAUAUAUUUAUAGUUUCCUAGGAUGCUGCCCCAAUACAAGUAUUUUCUAAGACAGUGGUGACUGCAUCAAUAUAACCAUUGGAGCAAGUGUGAGUCUCAUGCCAACUGAAGAAAAACAACAAUAUAUUGCUUAUUUCUCAUCAUGUAUUGGUGACGACAAUUAUGAAUACGGUGGUGAUUUCAUUUGAUUCAAGCAAAGUAUAAUUUCUUAGAAUUUAAAUUUCCAGCAAACUUACUAACUUGAUCUUAGAAUAUGCUCGUUAGUUGAUUUUUAUUCUCAAUUUUUUGUUAAACUUUUAUCUACAGACUACUUUUUAUCGUAUGUUGCUGGUCACGCACCCUUGACUUGUAUUUAAGACUUUGCUUUUUUUAGAAAAGCCAUGAACUAUCUUGUGUAAAGUAUGUGUUCUUUACACAAGAUAGUGUCGAUGGUGACCAACAACAAUCUAUCAAGUUGUGGGAUAACAUAUUUGCUAAAUUUCUUGAAGAAACUAUGAACAUCAACGAUCGUGAUGCUAAUGGAUUAUCCGGACGCUUCAUUAUAAUUAACGCCCAAGUUGCCUUGUAUGUUGAUGCUUUAAUGCAAGCCGCUCGUGCUCGAGCGAGUGGUCUUGUCGAUGUUGAUGUCGACCGAAAGUGUCGAACUGAUUGGCAGCACAAACAUGGGAAAAUUUUUGCUUAUGAAAGUUGUUAUCAUAUUUUCAAAGCGUUGCCUAAAUAUAAUCCAGAAGUGUUAGAAAACAUGCAGAAUGUACCUGCAAGUUCACCAUACACUUCUUCUCAUUCGACGCCAGGUUCACAACCAUCUCAAACAUCUCAUCCCCCUCUUGAGAAUCCAUUUUCUUCAGCAGAAACCACAAAAAAUAACAAUUCCAACUUGAAUUUCAAUGCUUCGAUUAAGAGAAAAUUGUUAGGAAGAAACAAUGCAAGAGCAGCGAGAAAAGCUGCCCAAGAAGGAUAAGCAAGUGAAGGUGUUUUUGAUACUUUGAUAGAGCAUCAGAAGACCCUCGAAAAACAAAGAGCUGUAGACCGGAAGUUCUUGACUACGUAGAUGAAAAAACAUCGACAAACUCAAGAGAAAUUUGUUUCAGAUUUUGACAAGAAUAAGAUUCUAAAUGCAAACACUUUAACAAUGAAUCCCAGACAAUUGAUGGUAUGAGAGAUGGAGAUGGAGAUGGAGAUGGAAGGGAUAGCAGAGGAGUUGGAAGAAAAACGAAACAAGAGAAAUUUGGAAAAACAAUUUGGAGUUCAAGCUGAAGAUGAGGAUGAUGAAGACAACGAUGAAGUAGUGCCUCUUAAUUAAUGUAUCAGCUUUAAUUUUAAUAAAGAUGUAGUAUUUGGUUAUGGUGAACGAAAUUGAAUUUGUUCUAGUUUUUUCAUUA